rnacentral:rRNA from 1 species
UACGAAGGGGGCUAGCGUUGCUCGGAAUCACUGGGCGUAAAGCGCACGUAGGCGGCUUUUUAAGUCAGGGGUGAAAUCCUGGAGCUCAACUCCAGAACUGCCUUUGAUACUGAGGAGCUUGAGUCCGGGAGAGGUGAGUGGAACUGCGAGUGUAGAGGUGAAAUUCGUAGAUAUUCGCAAGAACACCAGUGGCGAAGGCGGCUCACUGGCCCGGUACUGACGCUGAGGUGCGAA